rnacentral:rRNA from 1 species
UACGUAGGGGGCGAGCGUUGUCCGGAGUUACUGGGCGUAAAGCGCACGCAGGCGGUCUGCUAAGUUUGGAGUGACAGUUGGUGGCUUAACUGCCAAAGUGCUUCGAAAACUGACAGACUUGAGGGCUUCAGAGGGACACGGAAUUCCGGGUGGAGUGGUGAAAUGCGUAGAUAUCGGGAGGAACACCUGUGGCGAAAGCGGCUCACUGGACCACAACUGACGCUGAGGCGCGAAAGCUAGGGGAGUAAACAGG